UAAGGAAUAUUGGUCAAUGGAGGAAACUCUGAACCAGCCAUCCCGCGUGCAGGAUUAAGGUCCUAUGGAUUGUAAACUGCUUUUGGUAGGGAAGAAACGCCUUCAUUUAUGAGGGUCUGACGGUACCUACAGAAUAAGCACCGGCUAACUCCGUGCCAGCAGCCGCGGUAAUACGGAGGGUGCAAGCGUUAUCCGGAAUCACUGGGUUUAAAGGGUGCGUAGGCGGGUUAUUAAGUCAGUGGUGAAAGCCGGUCGCUCAACGAUCGAACUGCCAUUGAUACUGAUAGUCUUGAAUUGGGUUGAGGUUAGCGGAAUGUGACAUGUAGCGGUGAAAUGCGUAGAUAUGUCAUGGAACACCAAUUGCGAAGGCAGCUAGCUAGGCCUUGAUUGACGCUGAGGC
rnacentral:rRNA from 1 species